CCUACGGGAGGCUGCAGUGGGGAAUAUUGGACAAUGGGGGGAACCCUGAUCCAGCCAUGCCGCGUGUGUGAAGAAGGCCCUCGGGUUGUAAAGCACUUUCAGUGAGGAAGAACGCCUGGUGGUUAAUACCCAUCAGGAAAGACAUCACUCACAGAAGAAGCACCGGCUAACUCCGUGCCAGCAGCCGCGGUAAUACGGAGGGUGCGAGCGUUAAUCGGAAUUACUGGGCGUAAAGCGCGCGUAGGUGGCUUGAUAAGCCGGUUGUGAAAGCCCCGGGCUCAACCUGGGAACGGCAUCCGGAACUGUCAAGCUAGAGUGCAGGAGAGGAAGGUAGAAUUCCCGGUGUAGCGGUGAAAUGCGUAGAGAUCGGGAGGAAUAACAGUGGCGAAGGCGGCCUUCUGGACUGACACUGACACUGAGGUGCGAAAGCGUGGGUAGCAAACAGGAUUAGAUACCCCAGUAGUC
rnacentral:rRNA from 1 species